rnacentral:rRNA from 1 species
CUUCCAAGAAAAGCUCGCAAUGUCAUAAACAAAUAAUGCCUGUACCAUAACCGACACAGGUGGGUAGGUAGAGUAUACUAAGGGGCGCGAGAUAACUCUCUCUAAGGAACUCGGCAAAAUGACUCCGUAACUUCGGGAGAAGGAGUGCCUUAUUUAUAAGGUUGCAAUAACAAGAUCCAAGCAACUGUUUAUCAAAAACACAGGUCUCCGCUAAGUCGUAAGACGAUGUAUGGGGGCUGACGCCUGCCCGGUGCCAGAAGGUUAAAGAAGUUGGUUAGCAUUCGCGAAGCUGAUAACUGAAGCCCUGGUGAACGGCGGCCGUAACGAUAACGGUCCUAAGGUAGCGAAAUUCCUUGUCGGGUAAGUUCCGACCCGCACGAAAGGCGUAAUGAUUUGGAUACUGUCUCGGAGAGGGGCUCGGUAAAAUAGACUUGUCUGUGAAGAUGCGGACUACCUGCACCUGGACAGAAAGACCCUAUGAAGCUUUACUGUAACUUGAAAUUGAAAUUGGACUUUAUUUGCGCAGCAUAGGUGGGAGGCUUUGAGAGUAUUCUUGCGGGAAUAUUGGAGCCAUCAGUGAGAUACCACUCUUGUAAUGUUAGAUUUCUAACUUUGUAUCAUUAUCUGGUCAAAGAACAGUUUCAGGCGGGCAGUUUGACUGGGGCGGUCGCCUCCCAAAUGGUAACGGAGGCGUACAAAGGUUUCCUCUGAACGGGUAGAAAUCGUAUCUAGAGUGUAAAGGCGUAAGGAAGCUUGACUGUGAGACCUACAAGUCGAGCAGGGACGAAAGUCGGCCUUAGUGAUCUGACGGUGCUGAGUGGAAAGGCCGUCACUCAACGGAUAAAAGUUACUCUAAGGAUAACAGGCUGAUCUCCCCCAAGAGUUCACAUCGACGGGGAGGUUUGGCACCUCGAUGUCGGCUCAUCGCAUCCUGGGGCGGUAGUACGUCCCAAGGGUUGGGCUGUUCGCCCAUGAAAGCGGUACGCGAGCUGGGUUCAGAACGUCGUGAGACAGUUCGGUCCAUAUCCGGUGUAGGCGUUAGAAUAUUGAGAGGAGCCUUCUUUAGUACGAGAGGACCGAGAAGGACAUACCUCUGGUGUACCAGUUAUCGUGCCAACGGUAAACGCUGGGUAGCUAUGUAUGGAGAGGAUAACCGCUGAAAGCAUCUAAGUGGGAAGCCCACCUCAAGAUAAGUAUUCUCUUAAAAAG